GGAGGAGGCAGGGAAUGGGGUAGGGAAUGACAGACAAGAAAAGGAAAGGGAUUUGCAUGUGGGUGAGGGACCACUGGAGACCAUCUGUCAACUCAAUUUAUUGGGGCUCUUUUGAACCUGACACAGGAGCCAGCUUUCUCUAUGUCCGUGAUGCACGCUUAGCAGUUUUCACCCUUCUCUUUUCCUGCUGUCAUGUGCUGGAGUAACAAUAUAACUAGAUUGCCUUUGGGCUCUGUCAUUCACCCUUUCUCUGCUGCUCUCCCCCUUGAGCGGGCUCAGCCAUUCCCCAAAGCUUGGUCAAAAAUGAAGGCAUAUUACUUGGCAGAGCAGCAAUGAUGGGGGGCAGAAAGCCAUCAGAAGUGGCGUGUGGCCAAGUACCCUGUUGUUGCUAUGCAAUCCCAUGCCAUCUUCGUCUUGGCAGGGUCUCUCCAGUUUGAUAUGUCAGCACAAACCCUGCCUUCAGUAGGAGAGCCUUCCUGAAGUGUGACGUUCACCACACCCAAACGGGCACUGUGGGAUCGAGGACUGUGGGUGCAGACUUCAUGAGGAACCAACUUUCUCAGUAGACAUCCUGGAGCUCCACCCCUGUGAGGCCUCAGGCCUUGCAACCAAGCCUUGUCUUUGUGAGAGGAGCUGGGCAGGAGGCAGCAGCUUGAAGCUGGCUGGUGGGCACACACGCUGUGUCCAAGGCUUCUGUCCACACUCCCACAGACAGCUCCAGGCUCCCGGUGCCAAUGGUGUGACCAGCUGCUGAACCUCAGUGCCCACUGCUGACCAACACGGAAGGGGAAAGGUGUGGUGUGGGAAGUGAGCCUUGAAACCAAAUGUUUUCUCCAGUUUCAGCUUUCCCUAUUUGCCUGGGACAGUUCUGAUAUUCAUGAAGGAAACAGCCAUGAUGGCAGUGUUCAGAGAGAAAAGAGAAAAUUGUGGCUUUCCUCAAAUUCUCAUACUUGCGCUGUGGAUGUUAACGGAGGUAUCCACCAUCAGGAAAAGACUGAGCUCUGCAGUGGAAGGGGCACCCUUUUUUGUAAUUCAGUCAUAAAUCACACAGCCUCUUUCUCUUGUGCUAUGAGAGGGAAACAACUUCAGUCUCCCUUUCUCCAAAUCUCUCAUCACUUCUGGGUCUCAGCCUCCCAUGCUGUGAACAAAUAUUGUCUUGCAGCCUUGUUUUCUGGAGAUUGUAUGAUGACAAAUUACAGGAAACAGACAUCCUUUCCCGGUAUUUUUUUCUAUGAACAUUAGCAUAUUUGAAAGCUGUGUCAGCGAAUUACUCAUAACUAUUUACACAUUAAUAGAUAGUAUUGUCUUUAAAUGUUUUAGAUAUAUCUUAACACAUUCCAUAAACACAGCAUUUUAACAGUACUACAAGAAAAGGCUAGGAACAUGUGUUACAGUAGUUGAAACAUCUAACUAUCAAGUAGUUUCUUUCAGGUGACCAUGCAUUCUGCAUGCUGUGGCAAAUUCCACACUCCUGUGGUGCCAAAACAGAAAGCAGCCUCCCAGCUGUGAGAAUGAAGUAUGAACUGGCAAGAAAUGGUGUGUAAAUG
ensembl:lncRNA